GAUGCCGCGUGAGUGAAGAAGGCCUUUGGGUUGUAAAGCUCUUUUGUAGGGGAAGAUAAUGACUGUACCCUAAGAAUAAGGUCCGGCUAACUUCGUGCCAGCAGCCGCGGUAAUACGAAGGGACCUAGCGUAGUUCGGAAUUACUGGGCGUAAAGCGCGCGUAGGCCGUUGAGUUAGUUAAUUGUGAAAUCCCAAAGCUUAACUUUGGAACUGCAAUUAAAACUGCUCGACUAGAGUUUGAUAGAGGAAAGCGGAAUACAUAGUGUAGAGGUGAAAUUCGUAGAUAUUAUGUAGAACACCAGUUGCGAAGGCGGCUUUCUGGGUCAAACACUGACGCUGAGGUGCGAAGGUAUGGGUAGCAAUCGAGGAUUAGAUACCCUCGUAGUCCAUACCAUAAACGAUGAUUGCUAGAUGUAGGACAUUUACUAUUCCGUAUCGGCAGAUAACGCAUUAAGCAAU
rnacentral:rRNA from 1 species